GGAAGCGCGAGGCAGGCUGGUGCCGCCCUUGGACUUCAAAUCCAAUGGGGGGUCCGUGAUCGGAUCCUCGGCGGGUUCGAUUCCCGUGCGCUUCCGCCA
rnacentral:tRNA from 1 species